GCCAGGCGCGGUGGCGCGCGCCUGUAGUCCUAGCUACUCGGGAGGCUGAGGCAGGAGGAUCGCUUGAGUCCAGGAGUUCUGGGCUGCAGUGCGCUAUGCCGAUCGGGUGUCCGCACUAAGUUCGGCAUCAAUAUGGUGACCUCCCGGGAGCGGGGGACCACCAGGUUGCCUAAGGAGGGGUGAACCGGCCCAGGUCGGAAACAAAGCAAUAAAGAGCCCAAAAAUAGACUUCACAUAUGUGGUUGAUUUUAUUGAUUGAUUGAUUGAUUAUUGCAGUACUGCUGAUUGAACCCAGAGCUGUCUGCAUGCU
rnacentral:SRP_RNA from 1 species